rnacentral:sRNA from 1 species
GAUCAUCUGGGCGCGGAAAUCCGGGCCGGUGUCGAUCACGACGGUCGUCUUGCCGCCGUCCGGCGCAAA